rnacentral:rRNA from 1 species
AUUGAACGCUGGCGGCAUGCCUUACACAUGCAAGUCGAACGGUAACAGGUCUUCGGAUGCUGACGAGUGGCGAACGGGUGAGUAAUACAUCGGAACGUGCCUAGUAGUGGGGGAUAACUACUCGAAAGAGUGGCUAAUACCGCAUGAGAUCUACGGAUGAAAGCAGGGGAUCGCAAGACCUUGUGCUACUAGAGCGGCCGAUGGCAGAUUAGGUAGUUGGUGGGAUAAAAGCUUACCAAGCCGACGAUCUGUAGCUGGUCUGAGAGGACGAUCAGCCACACUGGGACUGAGACACGGCCCAGACUCCUGCGGGAGGCAGCAGUGGGGAAUUUUGGACAAUGGGCGAAAGCCUGAUCCAGCAAUGCCGCGUGCAGGAUGAAGGCCUUCGGGUUGUAAACUGCUUUUGUACGGAACGAAAAGCCCCGGGUUAAUACCCUGGGUCAUGACGGUACCGUAAGAAUAAGCACCGGCUAACUACGUGCCAGCAGCCGCAGUAA